UCAGUGCCCCGCGCCUCGCCUGCUCGGCCCCAUGGGCAGCAUCUCCAUGAGCGACGACACCAGCGCCGUCGCCGGGCUCGGCGGCACGGGCCUCGCGGCGUCGGCGCACCGCACGAAGCUCGCGGCGAGGAUCGCGACGAGGACGGCGACGACGACGAACAAGUCGAGGGGGCGGCGAGCUUCCAUGGCCUCCGAAGGAGAAACGAAGGCGCCCUUGGAUGGAUCUCCUCUGAAUUCCAAGGAGCACAACUGCACAAGCACACAGUAUACUUGUCUGAAUCUCUGGUCUUUCUUUUCUUCGGUGUGAUGCUAGGCUAG
rnacentral:rRNA from 1 species